rnacentral:rRNA from 1 species
UACGAAGGGGGCUAGCGUUGUUCGGAAUUACUGGGCGUAAAGCGCGCGCAGGCGGUCUUCCAAGUCAGUGGUGAAAGCCCGGAGCUCAACUCCGGAAUUGCCAUUGAAACUGUGAGACUGGAGUACGAGAGAGGUGAGUGGAAUUCCCAGUGUAGAGGUGAAAUUCGUAGAUAUUGGGAAGAACACCGGUGGCGAAGGCGGCUCACUGGCUCGUAACUGACGCUCAGGCGCGAUAGCGUGGGGAUCAAACAGG